GACAAACAGAUCAAAUUAAAAUUAUAAUAGUAAAAAAGGAGGUUAAUAAAUUUGUUAUGGGAAAAUAAUGCUUUUUAGGGAGGUGGAAUUUGUAUAAGAAGAGGUAAUUUAGGUUUUUCUUUUUUUGAGGCCUCGAAAUUUUGUUAUGAGACCGGGAUUAGAUACCCCGUUAUUCGGAAUGUAAACUUUAAUUGUAUGUAUGAUUUACUUGAGUAUUACGAGUGUAGAAAUUAAUUACUAUAGUUCUUAAAACUCAAAAAACUUGGCGGUGCCUUAUAUCCUUCCAGGGGAACCUGUCCUAUAAUCGAUAGUCCACGAUUUAACUUUCUUUCUUUUGAAUUAUAUCAGCUUGUAUACCGUCGUCGUCAGGUUACCUUUAAGAGUUAUGAAGUUAUCGGUGAGAAUUAGAAUAAGCUGGAUUCUGAAUAAUAUCAGGUUUGCUUAGUUAUGUUCUAGACGUCAGAUCAAGGUGCAGCCUAUAAGAAAGUAGAGAUGGGUUACAGUAAUAAUUUAUUAUAAUGGAUUUUUUGUUGUAAUAGCAAAAUUGAAGGAGGACUUGGAAGUAAUUAGUUUAAAAAUAAGAGAGUUUAAAUGAAAAUAGGCUCUGAGGUGCGC
rnacentral:rRNA from 1 species